GAUGAACGCUGGCGGCGUGCCUAAUACAUGCAAGUCGAGCGAACGGACGAGAAGCUUGCUUCUCUGAUGUUAGCGGCGGACGGGUGAGUAACACGUGGAUAACCUACCUAUAAGACUGGGAUAACUUCGGGAAACCGGAGCUAAUACCGGAUAAUAUUUUGAACCGCAUGGUUCAAAAGUGAAAGACGGUCUUGCUGUCACUUAUAGAUGGAUCCGCGCUGCAUUAGCUAGUUGGUAAGGUAACGGCUUACCAAGGCAACGAUGCAUAGCCGACCUGAGAGGGUGAUCGGCCACACUGGAACUGAGACACGGUCCAGACUCCUACGGGAGGCAGCAGUAGGGAAUCUUCCGCAAUGGGCGAAAGCCUGACGGAGCAACGCCGCGUGAGUGAUGAAGGUCUUCGGAUCGUAAAACUCUGUUAUUAGGGAAGAACAUAUGUGUAAGUAACUGUGCACAUCUUGACGGUACCUAAUCAGAAAGCCACGGCUAACUACGUGCCAGCAGCCGCGGUAAUACGUAGGUGGCAAGCGUUAUCCGGAAUUAUUGGGCGUAAAGCGCGCGUAGGCGGUUUUUUAAGUCUGAUGUGAAAGCCCACGGCUCAACCGUGGAGGGUCAUUGGAAACUGGAAAACUUGAGUGCAGAAGAGGAAAGUGGAAUUCCAUGUGUAGCGGUGAAAUGCGCAGAGAUAUGGAGGAACACCAGUGGCGAAGGCGACUUUCUGGUCUGUAACUGACGCUGAUGUGCGAAAGCGUGGGGAUCAAACAGGAUUAGAUACCCUGGUAGUCCACGCCGUAAACGAUGAGUGCUAAGUGUUAGGGGGUUUCCGCCCCUUAGUGCUGCAGCUAACGCAUUAAGCACUCCGCCUGGGGAGUACGACCGCAAGGUUGAAACUCAAAGGAAUUGACGGGGACCCGCACAAGCGGUGGAGCAUGUGGUUUAAUUCGAAGCAACGCGAAGAACCUUACCAAAUCUUGACAUCCUUUGACAACUCUAGAGAUAGAGCCUUCCCCUUCGGGGGGCAAAGUGACAGGUGGUGCAUGGUUGUCGUCAGCUCGUGUCGUGAGAUGUUGGGUUAAGUCCCGCAACGAGCGCAACCCUUAAGCUUAGUUGCCAUCAUUAAGUUGGGCACUCUAAGUUGACUGCCGGUGACAAACCGGAGGAAGGUGGGGAUGACGUCAAAUCAUCAUGCCCCUUAUGAUUUGGGCUACACACGUGCUACAAUGGACAAUACAAAGGGCAGCGAAACCGCGAGGUCAAGCAAAUCCCAUAAAGUUGUUCUCAGUUCGGAUUGUAGUCUGCAACUCGACUACAUGAAGCUGGAAUCGCUAGCAAUCGUAGAUCAGCAUGCUACGGUGAAUACGUUCCCGGGUCU
rnacentral:rRNA from 1 species